rnacentral:SRP_RNA from 13 species
GGACUAGGUCGGGCAGUUAGGCCCUGCUCUUCACCCGCGAAAUAGGUCUUUAGCGGGGACCGAACACGGGCGCGUCCGGUCAGACCGGCGCGGGCCCCGGAAGCCAACGUAGAAACCUCGUCCUUCGGGGACAGCGGUUCCGCGUACCCCUUCCGCAGGGAAGGGUUCGCGCGGUUUAUCGGUGGUACCCCGCCAGGCGCGGAAGCGAGCAGCGGACCAUCGGACGUGCGUCGCUCGAGGGAUCGCGGGGUGGAGGAGGCAACCGGGAUUCCCCACGUCGGAACGCCGGGCAACCUCGCUGUCCAC